CUUACAUGAUUAGUCGUGUUUGCAAACUCUCCGUCAAGUCGGUAUUCUUUCAUGGUCCACCUUCCCAUGCCAUUGAAGCCAUUCUUAGCGACAAAACUGAAACUUCGCUUAGACCCAUAGUGUAUUGUUUUGCUAUCAUCAUAAAGCUCUUCAUCCUUUUAACUUGACACCAGGUGGCAACUCCCUAUAUAGCUUCUGCACCAGCACUGAUCUGAUGAUGAAUCUUGUUGUUGUGUCGAUAAUGAGUGCUCAAAAGAUCACUGGACUUGAAACUAACCGAGAUCACUGGUGAGGGCUACGACGCCGAUGAUGCUCAAAAGAGUCAAUGCACGCGACGUGUUUGAUUAUGAUUCCGACUUGUACACCAGGAUGGUUAGGUACCCACUUGAAGUGCUGGCGAUUUUCGACAUUGUUUUGAUGAACAUGGUGGGACGAAUUAACCCUUUGUUUGAAAAGCACAUUCAAACUCGGUUUUUCAAUCUCAAGAGCUCCACUUCAGGGAGAAAUCUUAACCCAUCUGAUGUUGAGGUUACUACCCAGAUCCUGUUGUUACAAAUAGAGAGCAAAUAAACUGAACCCAAGAUAUGCUUGAAGGAAGAGUGUCAAGCUAGGGACUCCAUGACACUGGUUCACAACCGAUGCAGAUGAUCUCUCUGCUAUGGUUGGAAUUGAAGGAUGAUACAUCUUAAUGAAAAGAGAUCAUGGACUUGGAGAUUAUUUACCUUCCAAAUUGAUCCAUCUAUGAAUUUUGCACUUAACACAUAUGAUUUAGUGGGAUCUCUACCUGGUGGCAACAAUAAUUUAUAGCUUGGGGAUGCUAUUUUUACUAUGAAAUGGGUUACUUGAAGAUUUGCAAGUAACAUUUUGGUUUUGGUUUAGAUUUAUUCAGUUGAAUAGAUUUUGGCAUGGUUUGGAUUG